CCUUUAGAGAUAGAGGAGUGCUCGAAAGAGAGCCGUAACACAGGUGCUGCAUGGCUGUCGUCAGCUCGUGUCGUGAGAUGUUGGGUUAAGUCCCGCAACGAGCGCAACCCUUGUCAUUAGUUGCUACAUUCAGUUGGGCACUCUAAUGAGACUGCCGGUGACAAACCGGAGGAAGGUGGGGAUGACGUCAAGUCCUCAUGGCCCUUAUAGGUGGGGCUACACACGUCAUACAAUGGAUGGUACAAAGGGUCGCCAACCCGCGAGGGGGAGCCAAUCCCAUAAAGCCAUUCGUAGUCCGGAUCGCAGUCUGCAACUCGACUGCGUGAAGUCGGAAUCGCUAGUAAUCGUGGAUCAGAAUGUCACGGUGAAUACGUUCCCGGGUCUU
rnacentral:rRNA from 1 species